rnacentral:lncRNA from 1 species
GGGCAGAUAAGAGAAGAAACGCAGGCUGCGCGAGGUAGUAGUGGUAAUCAGUGGGGUAUGUUUCUAGGGUGUGCAAGGCUUUGGUCUUUCGCUCUUUGCAGUAAGUGUUGUUGCUGCUUUCUGUUUGGGUUCAUGCUGCUUUUAUGAGAUGUAACACCGUGAAGGUGUGCAGCUUCAUUCCUGAAGCCAGUGAGACCACAAACCCAUCGGGAGAAACGAGCAACUCCAGACAUGCCGCCUAAAGAGCUGUAACACUCACCGCGAAGGUCUGCAGCUUCCCUCCUGAUGUAACAAGAUCACGAACCCACCAGAAGGAAGAAACUCCGAACACAUCCGAAUAUCAGAGGGGACAAACUCUGAACACGCCGCCUUUAAGAACUGUAACAACGGGAGGGUCCGUGGCUUCAUUGUUGAAGUCAGACCAAGAACCCACCAAUUCCGGACACAGAAGCACACAUUUACAAACAACAAACAUGUUCAUUAUAAAUUGUAACAUCUAUACCUGUGCGUGAUGAAGCAACUACAGGAAAACCUCCGAUUAGUAACCAAGGUUUGCUCACUCCAGCAACUUGAAAUUGAGCAUUUUAUAGCAGCAGGUGACUUCAGAGACUGGCCAAGCAAAAACCUCAUCUAAUAGUGGCUAAAGAAGGGAAGGGAGAAGGAAGGGUAUUGGAAAGUCCACACCUGACUGGAUGUUUUCAGCUCUCAGGGUCUGGAAGAUAUUUGAAGAUGACUAUCUCAUGGGCACUCUCACAGGCUUUACGAAGGUUGUCUGCAUUGGGAACCUCCACUGAAGAUCCCAGUAAGUCGGCAAUGCAUCAACUUUGGGGACCACUCCCCACCAGGCUCCCACCACUGCCAUUCGUUUGCUCUGAUUCUGGCUACUGGAGUCAUGCCAUUCUCCAGGAGUUCCUGCGGAUCGAGAGCAGAAUUUAACAUUAGCCUGGAAAUCUCACACCAGAGAGUAAAGAAAUGCUCAAAGACCACAUAGUCAUGUCAAACGGACAUGAGACUUCUCGAGUUUUUGCUGGCCUCAUUUAGACAAUCUGUGCAUCAAACUAAUAAUGAAUAUGAUUGAUUAGAACAUAUUGACUGUUUUUGUUUGUUUGAGAGUCUCCCUCUGUUGCCAAGGCUGGAGUACAGUGGAGCGAUCUUGGCUCACUGCAACCUCCGCUUCCCGGGUCCAAGUGAUUCUCCUGCAUCAGCCUCCAGAGUAGCUGGACUACAGACAUGCACCACCACGCCCGGCUAAUUUUCUGUGUUUUUAGUAGAGACAGCGUUUUCCCAUAUUGGCCAGGCUGGUCUUGAACUCCUGAUCUCAAGUGAUCCACGCCUCAGCCUCCCAAAGUGGUGGGAUUACAGGUGUGUGAGCCACCGUGCCUGGCCCUGAUUAGAACAUUUCGAAUCAAUAAAUAUUCAUUAAUGAAUAAAUAGAAAACAAUGAGAAUGCGGGGGGAAAAGCAGCUCUUCUUUACUGAAAAACGUCAUCUGAUAAAUACACAGGCGUAGAAUUAGAAAAU